ACCAAGGUACAUGCCCUAGACCAGAAUGGAACUUGGGACCCUUCAGUCCCCAGGCCGAUGCUCUAUCUACUGAGCCAAACUGGCUAGGGGAUGCAUAUGCUUUUUAAAUCUGAUUUUCUCCAUGAGUAAAUUUCCCUGCAAAUCUAGCUUUUAAUUUCCCUGACAGCAUUUAUUUUAAAGUAGUCCUAUAUAAUAAAAGGCUAAUACCCAAAUUGUCCCCUCGACCAGGAGUUUGACCAGGGGCGGGGUAGGCCAACCACCUGUGGCGCCUCCCACUCCGCUGGCCCCACCCCAAUCGUCUCCCCUACCCUGAUUGUGAUGGGACUGGCUGGACCCCACCUGUGCACAAAUUCGUACUCUGAGCCUCUAGUAAUGGGAGUGAAGAUUGAACCAGGGAAAAAUACAGAAAUGGUCCAUAAAAUAGUCUUUACUCUCUUCCCCACUCCAACUCCUCCAUACUCUUCCUUGUAGAUAUAAUAGAAAUGCUAUGUAAAUUCUGGGAUAAUUUAGGAGCCAAGGUAAGGUGUCCCCAUUCAUUGGAUUUCUACUACCACUUUUUGUGGCCUGUAGCUGAGCUUUUCUUAGUUUUGUACUCUUUCAUUCUCUUCCUGACCCUCCUCUUUUCCCACAUUUAUUGGUCUGAAUGAACACUUAAAAUGAAAUUCUUUUUGCUUAAACUAACUAUAUUAUUUUCCAACUUUUUUAUUUCAGUCCAACAAGGUUUCUAGGAAGUAGACUGGAAAAUGGAGAAAUUUCAUUAGAGGCCUACUGGAGGGGAUAAUUUUUACUUAUAAUCUGAGUUCCUGAUUCUUUGUGCUCUAACUAAUCUGACUUGUCUUUCUCUGUUUUAAGAUUUUAUUUUACUGUAACCUCCAAGAUCAGUCUAAGAGGUUUUCAUAUAACAUUGUGUUUCUGUUUCCUUUUUAAUUUGCAUCACUCAGGUUAGCAUUUAUUUGUUCAUAGUGAGACAACAUGGUAUAAUGGAAAAAACAAACAUGGUCUUUGUAUCCUCAAAGAUUUUCAUUCAAAUUAUGGAUCUUCAUUAUUAGCGAUGUGGUUAACAAACCUUUCUAAAUUUCAGGUUCCUUGUUAUUUAAAAGAAUAAAAUAUCUCCUUCAUAUGAAUGUUAUAAGGAUUAAAUUAUGUUAUGCAUAGACCUUUAUAAAGUAGAAGUUAUAUAAAAAUGUCCUUGAACUUUCCUCUGAAAAGGUAUAGAAUUUAUCUUUUUCCUCAAUAGUAUGUUUUCUUUUUCUUUUUUUUAAUUAAGAAUCAAAUACUCAGUGUAAAUAGAGGUGAGAAAGAAAUACUGAGCAGAACCUAAAGUUUACUUGAGAGACUUAGAGAAGACAUAAAAAAUUAAAAACACUCAUGAAUUGAAUGUCUAUUAAUAUCCAACAUGUACUAAGAGCUUUAAGAAAAAUCAAGAUUAAUCUUUUGAAUAUAAUAAUUCUUGAGAUCUGGAUUAUCCUGGAUAUGAGAGUUUUCCAGGUCAUAAUUUAAACAACAGAUAUUGCUAUUUUUAAAUUUCUUUUUAUCUGCCAAAAUCUACCUUUUUGACAGGAUGAAAGGAAGAUAAAAAUUGAUUAAAAAUUUGGAUAUAGCCAGCUUGUUAUUAGAAAAUUAAGAGGAUGGUCUAAACAUGAAAAAAUAGGUUUAGGAAUAUGUACAUAACCAUAGUAAACUAUUAUAACAUUAAAAUAUCCUAAAUAUCUAAAAUAACUUAAUUUUAGGAAUAUGAAAUGUAAUGUGAAACCUAAAAAUGAUCAGAAGGGCAUGCACACAGCUCCUUAUACUCCAAGACAACCACGUAAGAUAGUAUGU